GACGGCCUCAUCGUGUUGAAAACACCUGUUCUCGUACGACCACUGAAGUUAAGUCAACGUUGAGCCUUGUCAGUACCUAGAGGAGUGACCGUUUGUGAAUAUCAGGUGCUGUAA